CAAGCUGACACAAACUAGAAGUCACCUGGGAGGAGGCCACCUCACUGGGAAAUUACACCAGUCUGGCUGCCCUCUGAGCAAGCCCAUGAGGCAUCCUCUUGACUGUUAAUGGGAUAGGGGCCACAGCGGAUGCUGCCACUCCUUAGCGGUGGUCCAAGGUUCUAUUAGAAAUCAGGCUGAGCAGGUCAGUAAGCAGCACUCCUCUGUGGUUUCUGCCUCAGUUCCUGCCUCCAGGUUCCUGCCCUGCCUUCCAAGAUAAUGAACCUAUGAACUAAAAUAAGCUUUCUCCCCAAUUUGCUUUUGAUCCUGCUUUUGAUGACAGCAACAGAGAAGGAACUGGAACAGAGACCUUCCUCUGCUGUGCCCCGAAGACCCAGGAGAACACCACUCAUUGCAGUGGACCUCCGGAAGCUGCAGGUGUGACUGCAUGAGACCGGAAGCUGCAGGUGUGACUGCAUGAGACCGGAAGCUGCAGGUGUGACUGCAUGAGACCGGAAGCUGCAGGUGUGACUGCAUGAGACCGUUCUGCCACCAGGAUGUGAACACAGCACCCAGGCGCAAGGGAGCUGUCUCCCUGUCUCCAGCCUCAGUGCAUAUGAAGAACCAGCCCUCCUUGUUUGAUAGCAGUCAGAUCAGAGGAGCUUUGGAGAUACCUAGCUACACCCUCUACCUGUAUGUAUAAGGCCAGACUUAGUCAAGAACACAAUCACAGUUGAUGCCAACCCAGGAUUUAGCACAUACCUAGAAUUUCCCUAGUAACACACACGCUUUGUUUAAUCCUCCACAAAAUUUAUUCUUUAAGAGGUAAACUUAGGGCUGGAGAGAUGGCACUGGCUGCUCUUCCAAAAGUCCUGAGUUCAAUUCCCAGCAACCACAUGGUGGCUCACUACCAUCUAUAAUGAGAUCCAAUGCCCUCUUCUGGUGUUACUCAUUUAUAUAAUAAAUAAAUUAAUUUUUUUAAAAAGAGGUAAACUUAGAUACAGGACACCUGUAUCUGUAUCUAGAUACAAGAAACCUGACAAGAACCAAUGAGCUCAUUAGCCAAAGCCCAGAGUAGCAACUUUGCUUCAGAGUCCAAGUGGCAUUUUGAAUUGUGCCUAAACCUCCAGAUUGGGAUUCUGAGUCCAAUUCUCAUGUCAAUAAAGAAAGCUGAAGAUAAUAUGGCGCUUCAAAGUCACAUGACUGCUAGGUUGGAAAGCGAUAAGAUCAAAGAGUCAUUCCAUACAUAGUAACGCUGUAGUAAAUACAAUUUCUAGCUCACAGUAAACGUCUCUACUUUAUCAUCACUAAUUAGCCCCCCUUCUCUUUUUCCCUUCGGAACCUUAGUCUUUGUUUUUAAGAUCUAUUCUUUUGUUUUAAUUAUGUGUCUGUGUCAAGUGCUGGGGGACUAAAGUUGGGUAUGGGUGGCUGUGAGCCACUCAGCAUGGCUGCUGGGAGCUGAACCAGAGUCCUCUGGGAGACACGCUCUAAUCACUGAACCAUCUCUCCAGUCUACAGGCCCCAAUCUCUUAUGUGUGUUCAUUUGGAACUCUCACAAGUUAAACUAUGACAGCUCAUGAGGGCAGAACUGGAGGCUAAAGUACUAGAGUGACCCCAGAACAUACAAGACAGGGGUAUGGGUCCCCAGUCUCAAAUCUCAUUUCAUUCAUUCAUUCACUCAUUCAUUUAUUGCUUCCUGGGGACAAAACACUAAUUUUAAGACAUAUGCACCCACGUGACUGCUGUGGCUUCCAGUCUUCUGAAACACACUUGCACAUCAUUCCUCCAGAGGAUGUCAGCGAUCCACAGUUACGAAGCACUCACUCAUCUGCCCACCUCACAGGCCUCUGAACCAUCCCUGAGCUGCAGGAGGUUGAAGUGCCUCAGCUGGAGAGUGUUAAUAGAUCCUAUCACUCUUAGAUACACAAACCAGAGACGUGGCAACCGUUACUUAUUUGAGUGGUUUGGGUAUUUUAGAACAGAAAUUGCUUGCUUGUGGUUGUUUUAUUUUUUUUCCCUCCUGUAACCCGAAGAACAAACUGUUGUGUCCGCUUAUUACAUUGAUAAGUAAAUUAGAUGCAAGACUUUCACAUCUCAUAAUCAACUUCACCCAACAAUAAAUAUAAAAUUGUGAAAUUUCUACCACCC
ensembl:lincRNA Gm26519 predicted gene, 26519